UCGUAUAACGGGGGCGCGAGGGCUGUCGCUGACUUUUCAAAAAGGUCGUGCACGUCCGAGUGCUCUCACACAAUCCAUCUCACCCCUUUGUGCAUCACCGCGUGGGUUCUCCUUUGCGGGAGGGCUCACGUUUUCACACACAAAACUAGAUACAGUGUAGAAUGUCAUUUUUGCGGUCACACGCAAUCAAUA
rnacentral:misc_RNA from 1 species